UACGGAGGGUGCGAGCGUUGUCCGGAAUCACUGGGCGUAAAGGGCGCGUAGGCGGCCUGAUAAGUAGGGGGUGAAAUCCUGCGGCUUAACCGCAGGGCUGCCUUCUAAACUGUCAGGCUCGAGCACAGUAGAGGCAGGUGGAAUUCCCGGUGUAGCGGUGGAAUGCGUAGAUAUCAGGAGGAACACCAAUGGCGAAGGCAGCACUCUGGGACGUGACUGACGCUGAGACGCGAAAGCGUGGGGAGCAAACAGG
rnacentral:rRNA from 1 species